GCCUUGGUCGCUCAGAUGGCUAGAGCAUGGUGCUGAUAAUGCUAAGGUUGCAGGUUUGAUCCCUGUAUGGCAGCGGUU
rnacentral:tRNA from 1 species